CUCUGCCAUAUAAAUCGGAUACAAAGGGCCAUUAAAAACCUCUGCAAAUUAAUAGCUCUAACUCUAAUUGCGGGUGUUUGAAAAAUCCCUAGAAAUUAAUUUGCUGAGAUUAAAAUCCUCCGCAAAAUGAAAAAUAAACCUCCACUAAAAUUUGGAGGUUUUUAUAUGAUUGAGAUGAUCUUGUGGAUUCAUAUGCUUCAAUUUUUUUCCUACAUUCAACAUUUAAUAAAAUAGUGAAAUUGUCUAAAUUAGAGAAAACAAAUGCACAAUUCCAAAACAACAAGGUCAAACACAAAUCAGUGAGAUUCCUUUGUUAAGAGGAGCAAAAACACAACAAAGAAAAUGAAAAAUUGUAUGUAAGUUAAAUAGUUAAAUGUGACUCCAGUACUUAAAUACCAGUGGUCCCUCAAUAUUAAUGUUGUUCAAUCAAAAUCUUAUCAAUUGUUAUUGAUAUCUUAGGACCUCUUAUUAACUCCUUUCUCUCUUUAACCAAAAAUAAUGUGAUAUCUUAGGACCUCUUAUUAUCUUAGGACCUCUUCUAUUAUAAUCUCAUGUACUAUGACCAAUUUCUAAGGUUUUGGAAGAACAUAAACAAACAAAUAGGUUAGUUAUUUAAGGAAACAAAACACUUACAUUAACUUGAAAAAAAAAUUCAUUUGAGGACUAAAUCAAGAAACUUUUUGAAUGUCAUAAAAAUAAAUUUAUAAAAUACUGACCUUUUAUGUCUAGCUUAAAUCAAGAAACUUGUAAUUGAUCUCCAACUCAAUUUACUGUUUAGUAAAUGUAAAGACUUGAGGGAUGAGAGUCCACUAAAAGUAGAAUAUCAGUGUGGUUGAGCAUCUACGCAGAUGCGAGGAAUUCAGAGAGCAAACACGACCUACGCAGCGACAAUGCCUUGACGACGAACACAACGCAGGGGAAGACCAACAAGAAGAUGGUGCGGGGCUUGGAGGAAAAUGAUUAUGGUGAACUUUUUGGAGGAAAAUGUAUGAAGGCAGAAAUGAAUUGAGAAAGAGAAUUAGGGUUUAGGGAAAAUUAGGAGUAGAAAUGAAGUCCUAUUCAGUGUUAGAUAGUAAGUGUCGUGAAGUAUU
rnacentral:sRNA from 1 species